UGAGGAAUUUUGCGCAAUGGGCGAAAGCCUGACGCAGCGACGCCGCGUGGAGGAUGACGGCCUUCGGGUUGUAAACUCCUGUCAGGGGUGAAGAAACUUCGCAAGAAGCUGACGGUAACCCCAGAGGAAGCCCCGGCUAACUACGUGCCAUCAGCCGCGGUAAUACGUAGCGGGAAAGCGUUGGUCGGAAUUACUGGUCGUAAAGGGUGUGUAGGUGGCUGAGUAAGUUAAGGAUGAAAUCCCGAGGCUCAACUUGGGAACUG
rnacentral:rRNA from 1 species